GAGCUGGCGGCGUGCUAUACAUGCAAGUCGAGCGGACAGAUGGGAGCUUGCUCCCUGAUGUUAGCGGCGGACGGGUGAGUAACACGUGGGUAACCUGCCUGUAAGACUGGGAUAACUCCGGGAAACCGGGGCUAAUACCGGAUGGUUGUUUGAACCGCAUGGUUCAAACAUAAAAGGUGGCUUCGGCUACCACUUACAGAUGGACCCGCGGCGCAUUAGCUAGUUGGUGAGGUAACGGCUCACCAAGGCAACGAUGCGUAGCCGACCUGAGAGGGUGAUCGGCCACACUGGGACUGAGACACGGCCCAGACUCCUACGGGAGGCAGCAGUAGGGAAUCUUCCGCAAUGGACGAAAGUCUGACGGAGCAACGCCGCGUGAGUGAUGAAGGUUUUCGGAUCGUAAAGCUCUGUUGUUAGGGAAGAACAAGUACCGUUCGAAUAGGGCGGUACCUUGACGGUACCUAACCAGAAAGCCACGGCUAACUACGUGCCAGCAGCCGCGGUAAUACGUAGGUGGCAAGCGUUGUCCGGAAUUAUUGGGCGUAAAGGGCUCGCAGGCGGUUUCUUAAGUCUGAUGUGAAAGCCCCCGGCUCAACCGGGGAGGGUCAUUGGAAACUGGGGAACUUGAGUGCAGAAGAGGAGAGUGGAAUUCCACGUGUAGCGGUGAAAUGCGUAGAGAUGUGGAGGAACACCAGUGGCGAAGGCGACUCUCUGGUCUGUAACUGACGCUGAGGAGCGAAAGCGUGGGGAGCGAACAGGAUUAGAUACCCUGGUAGUCCACGCCGUAAACGAUGAGUGCUAAGUGUUAUGGGGUUUCCGCCCCUUAGUGCUGCAGCUAACGCAUUAAACACUCCGCCUGGGGAGUACGGUCGCAAGACUGAAACUCA
rnacentral:rRNA from 1 species